rnacentral:rRNA from 1 species
CCUACGGGGGGCAGCAGUGGGGAAUAUUGGACAAUGGGGGCAACCCUGAUCCAGCCAUGCCGCGUGUGUGAAGAAGGCCCUCGGGUUGUAAUGCACUUUCAGUGAGGAAGAACGCCUGGUGGUUAAUACCCAUCAGGAAAGACAUCACUCACAGAAGAAGCACCGGCUAACUCCGUGCCAGCAGCCGCGGUAAUAUGGAGGGUGCGAGCGUUAAUCGGAAUUACUGGGCGUAAAGCGCGCGUAGGUGGCUUGAUAAGCCGGUUGUGAAAGCCCCGGGCUCAACCUGGGAACGGCAUCCGGAACUGUCAAGCUAGAGUGCAGGAGAGGAAGGUAGAAUUCCCGGUGUAGCGGUGAAAUGCGUAGAGAUCGGGAGGAAUACCAGUGGCGAAGGCGGCCUUCUGGACUGACACUGACACUGAGGUGCGAAAGCGUGGGUAGCAAACAGGAUUAGAUACCCUUGUAGUC